rnacentral:rRNA from 1 species
UACGGAGGGUGCAAGCGUUAUCCGGAUUCACUGGGUUUAAAGGGUGCGUAGGAGGGCAGGUAAGUCAGUGGUGAAAUCCCCGAGCUUAACUUGGGAACUGCCGUUGAUACUAUCUGUCUUGAAUACCGUGGAGGUGAGCGGAAUAUGUCAUGUAGCGGUGAAAUGCUUAGAUAUGACAUAGAACACCAAUUGCGAAGGCAGCGCGCUACACGAAUAUUGACUCUGAGGCACGAAAGCGUGGGGAUCAAACAGG